rnacentral:rRNA from 1 species
GAUGAACGCUGGCGGCGUGCCUAAUACAUGCAAGUCGAGCGAACAGACGAGGAUCUUGUUCCUCUGACGUUAGCGGCGGACGGGUGAGUAACACGUGGAUAACCUACCUAUAAGACUGGGAUAACUUCGGGAAACCGGAGCUAAUACCGGAUAAUAUAUUGAACCGCAUGGUGCAAUAGUGAAUGACGGUUUUGCUGUCACUUAUAGAUGGUUCCGAGCCGCAUUAGCUAGUUGGUAAGGUAACGGCUUACCAAGGCAACGAUGCGUAGCCGACCUGAGAGGGUGAUCGGCCACACUGGAACUGAGACACGGUCAAGACUCCUACGGGAGGCAGCAGUAGGGAAUCUUCCGCAAUGGGCGAAAGCUUGACGGAGCAACGCCGCGUGAGUGAUGAAGGUCUUCGGAUCGUAAAACUCUGUUAUUUGGGAAGAACAAAUGUGUAAGUAACUAUGCACGUCUUGACGGUACCGAAUCAGAAAGCCACGGCUAACUACGUG